GAUGAACGCUAGCGGCAGGCCUAAUACAUGCAAGUCGGACGGGAUUGGAGAGCUUGCUUCCCAUGAGGGUGGCGCACGGAUGCGUAACACGUAUGUAACCUACCUUGUUCAGGGGGAUAGCCUCUCGAAAGAGAGAUUAAGACCGCAUAACAUUGCGAUGUGGCAUCACAUUGUAAUCAAAUAUUUAUAGGAACAAGAUGGGCAUGCGGAACAUUAGCUAGUUGGUAAGGUAACGGCUUACCAAGGCUACGAUGUUUAGGGGAUCUGAGAGGAUGACCCCCCACACUGGUACUGAGACACGGACCAGACUCCUACGGGAGGCAGCAGUAAGGAAUAUUGGUCAAUGGGCGGAAGCCUGAACCAGCCAUGCCGCGUGCAGGAAGACGGCCCUAUGGGUUGUAAACUGCUUUUGCAGGGGAAUAAACCUUGGUACGUGUACCAAGCUGAAUGUACUCUGAGAAUAAGGAUCGGCUAACUCCGUGCCAGCAGCCGCCGUAA
rnacentral:rRNA from 1 species